rnacentral:rRNA from 1 species
CCUACGGGAGGCAGCAGUGGGGAAUAUUGCACAAUGGGGGAAACCCUGAUGCAGCGACGCCGCGUGAGUGAAGAAGUAUUUCGGUAUGUAAAGCUCUAUCAGCAGGAACGAGACAAGACGGUACCUGACUAAGAAGCCCCGGCUAACUACGUGCCAGCAGCCGCGGUAAUACGUAGGGGGCAAGCGUUAUCCGGAUUUAUUGGGUUUAAGGGGUGCGCAGGCGGCGUGUCAAGUCAGCGGUAAAAUGUCGGGGCUCAACCCCGGCCGGCCGUUGAAACUGGCGUGCUCGAGUUGGAGAGAAGUAUGCGGAAUUCGUGGUGUAGCGGUGAAAUGCAUAGAUAUCACGAAGAACCCCGAUUGCGAAGGCAGCAUACCGGCUCCACACUGACGCUGAGGCACGAAAGCGUGGGUAUCGAACAGGAUUAGAUACCCUGGUAGUC